rnacentral:rRNA from 1 species
GGGAAGCGACUGAACCCGAACUGCCGAGAAAAGCCUCUAGCGAGACCUGCGCGACCGUACCGCAAACCGACACAGGUAGACGGGUAGAGAAUACCAAGGGGAACGGGAGAACCUUCGUUAAGGAAUUAGGCAAAAUAGAUCCGUAACUUCGGGAGAAGGAUCGCCUCAGUAGGGUGACUGCGAAUCAUGUAGGAGCCUGAGGAGGUCGCAGAGAAAUGGCCCUAUCGACUGUUUACCAAAAACACAGGUCUGUGCGAAGUCGCGAGACGAAGUAUACAGGCUGACGCCUGCCCAGUGCCGGAAGGUUAAGGGGAGGGGUGAGAGCUCUGAACUGAAGCCCCGGUGAACGGCGGCCGUAACUAUAACGGUCCUAAGGUAGCGAAAUUCCUUGUCGGGUAAGUUCCGACCCGCACGAAAGGCGUAACGAGUGGGGCGCUGUCUCAACGAAGGACCCGGUGAAACUGAAAUAGGAGUGAAGAUGCUUCUUACCCGCAGCAGGACAGAAAGACCCCGUGGAGCUUACUGUAGCUUGGCAUUGGGUUAGGACUUAGUUUGUGUAGGAUAGGUGGGAGACUGUGAAGCUGGGCCGCCAGGUUCGGUGGAGUCGUCGGUGAAAUACCACUCUGACUAAGUUUUGGCUCUAAUCUUCGCCGUAACCCGGUGAGGGGACAGUGCCAGGUGGGCAGUUUGACUGGGGCGGUCGCCUCCCAAAGAGUAACGGAGGCGCGCAACGGUUCCCUCAGGCUGAAUGGAAACCAGUCGGAGAGUGCAAACGCAUAAGGGAGCUUGACUGCGAGACAGACAAGUCGAGCAGAGACGAAAGUCGGCGUUAGUGAUCCUAUGGCACCAAGUGGAAGGGCCAUGGCUCAACGGAUAAAAGCUACCCCGGGGAUAACAGGCUAGUCUCUCCCAAGAGUUCACAUCGACGGGGAGGCUCGGCACCUCGAUGUCGGCUCGUCACAUCCUGGGGCAGUAGUAUGUCCCAAGGGUUGGGCUGUUCGCCCGUUAAAGUGGUACGCGAGCUGGGUUCAGACCGUCGUGAGACAGGUCGGUCUCUAUCCGCUGUGGGCGAAGGGAAUUGAGGAGAACUGCCCCUAGUACGAGAAGACCGGGGUGGACAGACCGCUGGUGUGCCAGUUGUACUGCCAAGUGCAUGGCUGGGUAGCUAAGUCUGGCAUGGAUAACCGCUGAAAGCAUCUAAGUGGGAAGCCAGCUCCGAGAUAAAUUCCCUCACAGGGUAACCUGGUAAGUGCGCUGGAAGACGACCAGUUUGAUAGGCGGGACGUGUAAGGGCAGUGAUGUCUUGAGCGAACCCGUACUAAUGCACGAGGGCUUAAUCUA